GAUUUACAACUAGAGGGACAGGCGCUGUCCCGGGACCCGUCCUGGGCCAGGGAGCAGGAGAGGGAGGGACUACAGUUCCCGACUUGCCGCGGGGCGGGCGGAGAUCGUGCACUUUACCAGUGCGCUUCGGCGCCAGUUGCAAGGCCUUGGCAGCCAGUGGCGGCUCUCCUCCUGUAACAGUCCCCUUGUCUUCCGACCUCUCGCUCUUAGGUUACGUGUCCUUGCCGGUCGCCGCGGCAGCCCCUAAUGCCCGAGCGGAGGGUUCCCAGGCCCAGCUGUGGGCGCCACCGCCCACCAUGCGCCAAGCCCAGAGCCUGGUUGAAUCCUUCGCCACCCUGUCCAUCCAUUUGGCCAUUAUCCUGCCACCUCCAAAUCCUGUUUUUGACACCUCUCGGGAGAGAGGGAAAGUGGAAAGAAAAAGGAAUAAACUCCUCGUGGCCAUAGUUAGUGGGUAAAUUCAGAUCUCGUUUGAACCGAGGUUUUUCAGAAUUGUCUUUUUAGUAUUCACAGCUUGUCACCAUCAGUACCUUGUUGAGAAGCCUCUCGCAACCUCCAUCGUGUGGUUAUAAAAUCCAAAUUCCUUAUAAAGUCCAAAUUCAAGAGGAGGAGUGCAUGUUUAGUUAAGUUACUGUCUAGACCUUACCAGCCAAUUUCUAUCUCUUCAGUAUGGAAAUUGCAACUGAAAACACUCCUUCCAAAAAAAGCAGUCUGCAUUUUUCUCUUCUCCAAAUUUAGCACCCCUGACCUUGCUUACACACUCUGGAUACCACCUGCUGUGGAAUGACGGAGUGGCGGAAGCAGACAUCCAGCGAUAGUUAGAUUUCCUGACGUUGACAUCCAAGCAAGAAAGGCGUGUACCUGAGGACCUGCCCGUGGUAGAAGUCUCAGCUUUUCUCAGAGACAGAGAUUAUGAUUGUGACAAGCAAGAACAUCUCCAGUAAUGAAGGUGCUGAUGGACAAGACCCUGGAUAGCUCUUCUUUUGCAGAGAAGACAUCAGUGACAACAGCACGCACGGAACAGGUGCACGUAUGAGCUACCUACUAAUACGCCCUGGAUUUUGAUUGUAUUUUGUGAAAACCUUGGUAUGGGUUAUUUUUAAAUGAAUGCUUUCCCAAAUUUGAUGCUGAAACUGGGAUGCAUCAAAAUUAGCUUGGUCAUAAUCUUGUCAGUGAUGUCAUCCAGAGGCCACCAGAAACACACCUGUAGCCCAGCAAAGUUGAGGCCAUCGACUGGCUGAUCACAGCAAGGAAGGCUGUGCACCACCGGGAGCCAGCAGCAGCUCAGCAGCAGCAGUGAGAGGGCCUUGGGAAAGACUUGGAGGGUUUGCCUUAUAUGAGGUGAUCUUGGGGAGAGUCAAGGAAACAGGUUGUGAUGGAUACUAUUGAGUGUCAACUUGGUUGGAUUGAAGGAUGCAAAGGAUUGUUCCUGGGUGUGCCUGUAAGAGUGUUGCCAAA